CAACAUCAGGUGUUCUGUGCUCGCGAUAAAACAAAGUGCAGUGUGAAGAGAAUUGUAUCAAGUCUAUAAGAACUAACAAGAAGAGGUGAAGAAGAUGGUAGGAUCUGUUGUCAUCUUUCUCGUGUUGAGUUUAAUACAGAUUUGUUACGGCUUACAAUGCCAGAGACGAGUUUGUUACUAUACCAACUGGUCGCAGUACAGAAGCGGCGUGGGGAAAUUCUUACCGGAGGACAUCGACCCUUUUCUGUGCACCCAUCUCAUCUUCGCCUUUGCCAAAGUGAAAAACAGCAAGAUAGAAGCCGUAGAAUGGAACGAUGAGGAUACCGACGUCAUCAAGGGGCU
rnacentral:sRNA from 1 species